rnacentral:rRNA from 1 species
UUGAACGCUGGCGGCAGGCCUAACACCUGCAAGUCGAGCGGAUGAAGGGAGCUUGCUCCUGGCUUCAGCGGCGGACGGGUGAGUAAUGCCUCGGAAUCUGCCUGGUAGUGGGGGAUAACGUCCGGAAACGGGCGCUAAUACCGCAUACGUCCUGCGGGAGAAAGUGGGGGAUCUUCGGACCUCACGCUAUCAGAUGAGCCUAGGUCGGAUUAGCUAGUUGGUGGGGUAAAGGCCUACCAAGGCGACGAUCCGUAACUGGUCUGAGAGGAUGAUCAGUCACACUGGAACUGAGACACGGUCCAGACUCCUACGGGAGGCAGCAGUGGGGAAUAUUGGACAAUGGGCGAAAGCCUGAUCCAGCCAUGCCGCGUGUGUGAAGAAGGUCUUCGGAUUGUAAAGCACUUUAAGUUGGGAGGAAGGGCAGUAAGUUAAUACCUUGCUGUUUUGACGUUACCAACAGAAUAAGCACCGGCUAACUUCGUG